rnacentral:misc_RNA from 1 species
AAGUCGGAAGGAUCAUUAACACGUAUCCAACGUUAAAACAACCCCCGUGAACUUUCAGCUUGCCUGUAGCCCGUGAAAACAGCAAUCCCUGGUAAAUCAUUGUUGACCAGCUUUUGAGUCAGGCUCUGCCGAUUGUGAUAUUUUAUAGCUACGGUUGAGCGAUUGCAUCUAGUGACCUGGCAUCCCCAAGUAAUCAGUGUCUGAAAGCCGCGCGUGAAAUUCGCACGGCACCAAAAACCGAACAACUGUUAACAAUGGAUAUCUUGGUUCUC